CUGCUCCGGCCGCGGCGCAGCGGCGCGCGAACUACAACUCCCGGCGGGCGCCGCGGCGGGGGCGCGGCGCGGCGAGCUGCAGCAAAAUGCCUCCCAUAUCUCCAAACUCCCUGAAGGAUUUCAAUUGCCAGCCGAAAUACCCAGCUGAGUGUGCUCCGACUCAAUUCUCUCCUUUAUUUCCUCUCUAAAAGUCCCAUCAAAACCACUGCAUCUCCUCUCACUCUCCUGAGGGUUUUUUAAAAGGUGUUUUGUAAAGUAGGUUCUUCAUUAAUCUGUUUGUCUUAAGCUGCUUAAAAAUACUCAUUGGCUGUAUCAGGAGCCAAGCUUAAAAAAAAAAAAAAAAGUGCAGGAUUUGUGGAGGAUUGAGCUGAAUUUCUCAGCUGUCUGGAACUGGCAUUAGUGCUCAGCAUCCUAAGAAGGGUGAUAUUCCUGCUUUCCCUGGUACUCACCAGCCCAAUCUUGGGUUCAUGGAGCAAAGUCACGUGGGCUUUUUUUUUUUUUCCAUUUUGUGAUUUUACUGCCUUCUGCUGGUCAGAGAUGAUUGGGCUGAGCUUAAUUUUUUUAUAAUCAGCACAUGAUCUAAAAUUUAGCUGCAGUGCAAAUGCCAGCAAUAGAUGCUUUGUGUACUUCUUGGUGUUUUGUUUGGUUUUUUUUUUCCCUGCAGCCUCAUGGAUAUAUUUCACUCUACAAUCAGUAAAGAGGAUUGUAGGUUUUAAUGUGCAGACUACAUCUUGUUCCAAAAGUCUGCUGUUGGCCUGAGGUGGGGAUGUAGCAGAUCACCUUUCUAAUCCUUCCCUGCCUUUCAGCUCCCUGCUUGCCCUUUGCUCCCAGGAUAAAGAAAAAAAAAAGAUUUAAAAAUAAAAGCCCUGUUGCUGUUUGCAUAAACUCAUAAAAACGUGGCCCCACGACAGUGCAGAAAGAAAGAGGCCUGCUGCCUCCAGAACUUCAUGAUCUGUUUUAGGAAUUAUAGUUGCUUAAAGUUUUAUCUUUGCUUUUAUUCCCCGAGACAGAGAUGGAUGUUCUUGUCUGCCUGUGUAGGGGCUGGAAGGUGGAGAGCUGAGGAGCUGACAGGGCUUGGAUCUGCCUAAAUGUACAAGGAAUUAUCCAGCUGAUCAAAGGAAAUGGCUGUUCCCCUUCCUGCACCUUCCUGCUCUCAAAUUUAAUAACCAUGCCCUGAAUUGAUAGGCCACACAAGGUGGAUAUACACUGUAAAUCCCCUGGGCAGGCAGGUUAUGAGAGGGAAGAUAUUUAUUUUCUGCUUUUUUUUUUUCCCCACAAAAGAAACAAAGCUUUGAUUGCCAAAUAAUCACUCGGGCACCCAUAAAUAAUUGUCUGUAAAAGAGAGAGUUUUCUUCACAUCUACCAAUUCCUAUUUCUGUAGGAAAGGUCUGCAGAGGGAGUGGGAGGGGAACUGAGUUCAACAAACUUAUAACAAAUGUCACAGAGUUCACACUUUGAGCAUUUUAAUGGCAUAAAACCAUCUCUGAGCUCCAUUUGAAUGUCAUAAGGAGAUUUUGAAAAUCUGUCUUCCUGGAGAAUAUAAUUUGUCUCUUCUUUAUUUUUUAAUAGGUAAACAAGGUGGGUAACACCAAGUGGCAAUGGCAAAAUUAAAAAUUAGAGGAGAUACUCUGAUUUAUGGAGAUGCACAACAUUUGUCCUCCAAACACGGCAGAAUGGAUUAGGGUAAGGAAGAGGAGGCUUCAGCAGGAUACUUGGAAGAGUCUGUGCCCAGGCUACCCUUAAUGUAAGAUCCUAGUUAUGCAAGAGGAAAUAAAACACAUUAAUGCCAUUUAUAGGGUGCUGAACUGGGAGAGGUUGAGAGCUGUGCUUGGGGUGGGAGCAUAAACUACAAAAAUUAUAAACAGGAGCAGGAAUUAAUGGAAGCUCUGUUGGGAAGACUUUUGAGUCCUUCUCUGGGAAGAUUUGAUUUCUUGAACCCACCUUUUGAAGUGAAGAAAUCUUAAAAUAAAUGUGCCAGGAGACAGUAAAGCAGAAGUGAAGCUGCCAUCAAACACCACCAUGUGAAGAAGGCUCUGGAAAGGCUGGUACAGUUCUGUGGGUCCAUAAAGGAAAUAACAGGGAUGUCAGGGAUGUAGUGAAGGCUGCAGGAAUUUGAAGAGUCCUCCCUCCUUAAAUCUCCUGGUUUCUCAUUGAUGCAGCAGAAUUUGGGUGCUGGGCAGCCUGGGGACAGCAGCACAUUCUCUCUUGCCAGAGGAGAUGGUGUUUGUGCAGUUUGUGACACGCUGACGUGCAGCUCUUUGUAUUUAAACAUUUGCCGAGAGAGGCAGAGAUUUGGCCCUUCCCGGGUGCUGCCAGGAGGUGGCUCCCUGCAUUUGCAGUCCCUGUUUACGGCUUUGUUUUUGGAAUUACUCCGGACGCGUUUUCCGUGGAAAAUGUUUUCCCUGCCUCUGCCCUGAGGAAGUUUACGUCAGAAGAACAAGGAAGCCCUGGGCUCAGGAAAUAAUCUGCUAACAGGCAAGCCAAGGAUCAGUUCACUUUUGUCCAAAUGUUUUCUGGCUGGGAUCCAAAGGGAUUUUUUCCUGUGCAGGACCUAAUCUUGUAACAUUAUUUCUAUCAGGCUCAAGGAGUUAGGUCUGUGUUGGUCGGGUGCACUUUCCGAAUUUGAUUAUAGCCCAGUAAAAGUCAUUCUCAAUUAUAAAAAAAC